AGUGAACGCUGGCGGUAGGCCUAACACAUGCAAGUCGAACGGCAGCACAGUAAGAGCUUGCUCUUACGGGUGGCGAGUGGCGGACGGGUGAGGAAUACAUCGGAAUCUACUUUUUCGUGGGGGAUAACGUAGGGAAACUUACGCUAAUACCGCAUACGACCUACGGGUGAAAGCAGGGGAUCUUCGGACCUUGCGCGAUUGAAUGAGCCGAUGUCGGAUUAGCUAGUUGGCGGGGUAAAGGCCCACCAAGGCGACGAUCCGUAGCUGGUCUGAGAGGAUGAUCGGCCAACCUGGACCUGAGACACGGCCAAGCUCCCUACGGAAGGAAGCGGUGGGAAAAAUUGGACAAUGGGCGCAAGCCUGAUCAAGCCAUACGGCGUGGGUGAAGAAGGCCUUCGGGUGGUAAAGCCUUUUUGUGGGGAAAGAAAAGCGCCAGGUUAAUCCCCGCCUGUUCGACGGGUACCAAAGAAUAAGCACCGGCUAACUUCGUG
rnacentral:rRNA from 1 species